AACUGCUUUUAUGCGGGGAUAAAGUGAGGGACGCGUCCCUUUUUGCAGGUACCGCAUGAAUAAGGACCGGCUAAUUCCGUGCCAGCAGCCGCAGUAAUACGGAAGGUCCGGGCGUUAUCCGGAUUUAUUGGGUUUAAAGGGAGCGUAGGCCGGGGAUUAAGUGUGUUGUGAAAUGUAGGCGCCCAACGUCUGACUUGCAGCGCAUACUGGUUCCCUUGAGUACGCGCAACGCCGGCGGAAUUCGUCGUGUAGCGGUGAAAUGCUUAGAUAUGACGAAGAACCCCGAUUGCGAAGGCAGCCGGCGGGAGCGCAACUGACGCUGAAGCUCGAAGGUGCGGGUAUCGAACAGGAUUAGAUACCCUGGUAGUCC
rnacentral:rRNA from 1 species